CAUCACAAUCAUUUUACACCAGUUUAGUCUUUUUCUUAAUAAAUUAAUACGUUAUUGGUAGCACUUGAUGAAAAAGUUUUUGAGCCUGACUUGGCAACUAAUUAUUUGUUUUGUACUUUUUGACAGAACGAUUAGAAAUCAUUAUCCUCUAGUAGAGGAAGCUGGUUCUGGAUUCUAUUCCCCAUAGGAAAAGAAAAGUUUCACUGAACGAGAAGUCUCUAUCAACCGAACCAUCAAACAAAAGCAAGAGUAUUGAACUUUACUUUUCAGACUAGUAAUGGACUCAGAAUCAUGAGAACCUGUUCCAGUUUCAGGUAUCCAAACACUAUAUUUCAUUUGUAGUACAUUCACUACUAUAACUUAAAAGAAUAAAUUAAUCUUACUAUUAUGUACUGAGAUUGUAUGGUUGCUUUCAUUUAACACAUUUGGGCUGUUUUACACUACAAAAUUAAACCUAUGAAAGACUAGUUGCAAAUUAUAAAUUAUACUAUCCUGUUGGAUUCAGUGCCAUAAGAGUGCUAGCUACACAUGGAACAAAUGUCCACCGAUAUCUGUUUCAUGGUUCUGGAAUUGAAUUCUUUGAAUUUGUUUCAAACUUGUGUCCAGCUUUUUUUGUGUACACCCUACAAGUAAUCACUGGAUGCUAGCAGACAUUUCAAGUAUAAUGGUUCAUUGGUUCUGGGCAAUUUAUAUUGAUUGAUUAAUUGUCAUUAGCUAUUCACUUGAUAUAAUUUCAUGAUUACUUAUGAUAGCUUAGUUUUUACUAUAUAAUAAUGUCUCUUAUCCGGAUACUAGAGUAAUGAAAUUAACGGUAAUUGACAGUCUGAAUGCAUGAUGCUCUAGCAGUGUUUGAAAAGGCGCAACUAGGCGCUGAGGUGCAAGGCGUCACGGAUUAUGCACUUUUUGUGGUUUAGGCGAGGCGAUUUUGAUGAGGCGCAGCUUAAGGAGCACUGAAACUGAGUAUGUUCAAAGGAAUCUGAAACUGGGAACUUUUUGAGGCACGACAGAAUAGCUUUGAAUUUAUUUCUUACUUCACAAGCAUUGGCAAAGUAAUCUUACUGCAUACUCUUGCUGAUUUAGUGUAUAAUAAGUUUAGCUAUAGAACUUAAAAUGACUAGAAUUAGUACUUAUAAUUAGGUACUUAUAAUUGUAGAUGAAAUAACUGCUGAUUAUAUAAAGUAUUUGUAGAAUUGACAAGAUUCUUGCCACUUGAUAAAGGUGUUAUCUUGAUGA